GACGUAGGGCGCGAGCGUUGUCCGGAUUUAUUGGGCGUAAAGAGCUCGUAGGCGGUUUGUUGCGUCGGUCGUGAAAACCUGGGGGCUUAACCCUGAGCUUGCGGUCGAUACGGGCAUGACUGGAGUUCGGUAGGGGGAGACUGGAAUUCCUGGUGUAGCGGUGAAAUGCGCAGAUAUCGGGAGGAACACCAGUGGCGAAGGCGGCGACCUGGGCAGAUACUGACGCUGAGAUGCGAAAGCGUGGGGAGCAA
rnacentral:rRNA from 1 species